rnacentral:rRNA from 1 species
CUUUACUGACGCUAAAGCUCGAAGGUGCGGGUAUCGAAACAGGAUUAGAUACCCUGGUAGUCCGCACGGUAAACGAUGGAUGCCCGCUGUUUGCGAUAUACUGUGAGCGGCCAAGAGAAAUCGAUAAGCAUCCCACCUGGGGAGUACGCCGGCAACGGUGAAACUCAAAGGAAUUGACGGGGGCCCGCACAAGCGGAGGAACAUGUGGUUUAAUUCGAUGAUACGCGAGGAACCUUACCCGGGCUUGAACUGCAGGAGAACGAUACAGAGAUGUUGAGGUCCUUCGGGACUCCUGUGGAGGUGCUGCAUGGUUGUCGUCAGCUCGUGCCGUGAGGUGUCGGCUUAAGUGCCAUAACGAGCGCAACCCUUUUCAUUAGUUGCCAUCAGGUAAUGCUGGGCACUCUGGUGAUACUGCCACCGUAAGGUGUGAGGAAGGUGGGGAUGACGUCAAAUCAGCACGGCCCUUACGUCCGGGGCUACACACGUGUUACAAUGGGGGGUACAGAGAGUCGGAUGUACGCAAGUACAUUCUAAUCCUAAAAGCCUUCCUCAGUUCGGAUUGGGGUCUGCAACCCGACCCCAUGAAGCUGGAUUCGCUAGU